ACUCAGGGAGGUAGUGACCAGAAAUAACGACGACGGGUUUCGAUUCGUCGAUUGCAAUGAGCACAAUGUAAAAUUCUUAGCGAGUACCGACUGGAGGGCAAGUCUGGUGCCAGCAGCCGCGGUAAUUCCAGCUCCAGUAGCGUAUAUUAAAGUUGUUGCAGUUAAAAAGCUCGUAGUUGGACGUCUCUGCGACUCGCAGCUCCGCCACGCAACUAGGUGCGCUCUUAAUUGAACGGCCUAGACCUGCGGGCCCUUUACCUUGAGGAAACUAGAGUGUUUAAGGCAGGCUGAGCCUGAAUACUGCAGCUGGGAAUAAUGCGCACGACUGUCUUGGCGAGGCAGCUCCACACUUUUAAUAGGAACAGUUGGGGGCAUUCGUACUCAGCAGUCAGAGGUGAAAUUCUUGGAUUUGCUGAAGACGGACUAAUGCGAAAGCAUUUGCCGAGGAUGUUUUCAUUAAUCAAGAACGAAAGUUAAGGGAUCCAAGACGAUCAGAUACCGUCCUAGUCUUAACCAUAAACGAUGCCGACUAGGGAUCGGGAGAGACGUACAAACUCUCUCGGCACCUCACGAGAAAUCCAAGUCUUUGGGUUCUGGGGGGAGUAUGGUCGCAAGACUGAAACUUAAAGGAAUUGACGGAAGGGCACCACAAGGAGUGGAGCCUGCGGCUUAAUUUGACCCAACACGGGGAACCUUACCAGGUCCAGACAUAGUGAGGAUUGACAGAUUGACAGCUCUUUCUUGAUCCUAUGGGUGGUGGUGCAUGGCCGUUCCUAGUUGGUGGAGUGAUCUGUCUGGUUAAUUCCGAUAACGAACGAGACCUCAGCCUGCUAACUAGAUCUUCUUAGAGGGACUUCCUGCUCGCGUGGGAGGAAGUGAGGCAAUAACAGGUCUGUGAUGCCCUUAGAUGUCCUGGGCCGCACGCGCGCUACACUGACGCAACCUGCAAGUUCCAAGCCUGUCAAGGCCUGGCAAACUGCCAACUGCGUCGUAGUUGGAACUGACCCUUGCAAUUCUUGGUCACGAACCAGGAACUCCUAGUAAGCGCAAGUCAUCAGCUUGCACUGACUAAGUCCCUGCCCUUUGUACACACCGCCCGUCGCUCCUACCGAUUCCGAGUGAUCAGGUGAACCUCUCGGACCCUGAAAGUUAAGUGAACCUUAUCACUUAGA
rnacentral:rRNA from 1 species